rnacentral:rRNA from 1 species
CAGUCGCCGCGGUAAUACGUAGGUGGCAAGCGUUGUCCGGAAUUAUUGGGCGUAGAGGGCUCGCAGGCGGUUUCUUAAGUCUGAUGUGAAAGCCCCCGGCUCAACCGGGGAGGGUCAUUGGAAACUGGGAAACUUGAGUGCAGAAGAGGAGAGUGGAAUUCCACGUGUAGCGGUGAAAUGCGUAGAGAUGUGGAGGAACACCAGUGGCGAAGGCGACUCUCUGGUCUGUAACUGACGCUGAGGAGCGAAAGCGUGGGGAGCGAACAGGAUUAGAUACCCCCGUAGUCCCUGUCUCUUAUAC